rnacentral:lncRNA from 1 species
CGGGAGGGAUUUGGAUCCUGCCAGCUCGUCCCUGCAACCCCCUACUCCGGUCCCCUCAAACCUGUCCGUGGCUGGCAGCCCUGUGAUACCUCGCCACAUUCUGCAACAGAAUCCGAGAUAGAGGUAGAAGUGGGGGAGUACGUCGUGGCUGUCAGGGCAGCUUUCUGUAAAAUGCUGCCUGGAGGAGCAUGUGAUUCCAGACCCUCCUCUCUGCAACGAAAGUGAGGUUGACACCUGCAGGUAUGAUUGUAACACGACUUUUAGUUCAGGCCUGGGGCCUCCUGGCCCACUGAGCAGAACACACAGAAGCUGGGCCCACCCCUGCCCUCCCCACAAAGGGUCACGGGAGCCACCGCCUGACUUUGAAGCCCACUGACUUGCGGCUGACAAGAGAAAAGGCACUGAGGGCUCGCCACAACCCCCUGUGUAUUUAUCUUACAGAAUGUGCCCCUGUGAUCAUGUGAAAGCAUCAGCCAGGGGUCCAAGAACUUCCCUCUGGAGCCUCACACUCCCAGCGUGGCACCCAGCAGGGAACAGAUUCUCUCCAAACCUUUGUGAAUGAAUGAAGGAUGACGUCACUAGAAUCCAUCCCUGUUUUAUUUUUUAUUUUUAUUUUUUGAGACAGAGUCUCGCUCUGUUGUUGCCCAGGC